GGCUAGAUGGCCGAGCGGUUAUGGCGUGUGACUCAAGAUUGCUCUUCCACGGACACAACGUGGCUUUCUCAUGGGGAAACCCGCGGGGGUUCGAAUCCCCCUCUAGUCA
rnacentral:tRNA from 1 species